GAAAACACAUGCAGAAUAAGGCUUCGUAUAACAAAAAAAAGUCUAUUGAAUAAUUCAUGUGUUCCAUUACUUAAGGAUUGAAAUACACACUAUAUUCAGAUUAAAAAGCAUGAUGCCAAAAGAUAAAGAAACGAAGAUGACAGGAACAAAAGAAUCAAAAGAUGUAUGAACUGUGUCGUUGCCUGAUAAACUUGACUUGUAUGAUUGAAGUCCUUGCCACUAGCAAGUAUCGAUCAGGUUCAGACAACUUAUAUGAUCAACUUGAUGCAAGAAUUGGAAGCGGGAGUGUUUAUAUCCCCCUUGAAUAACUCAAAAACGUGGACACUGCCCAUGCCCAGAAUGUAAAGAUCCAAAGAACGCUGGAAGAGAGUUUUAUGAGGUGUACGUCACCACUGCCCAUCACGUCGUCUUUGACAACUACGAAGCAAGACGAACAUACGUCAAGCUACACUUCGAUAGUGAGGACAAAAAAGAAUCUACAGUGACACUUCCAGGUUACAGAAUCGUCAACUAUAAUGCUGAGGCGGACAGGACUAUAUUGAGUUGUAUCACACAUGACAUAAGAAUAGUUAAGGAAAUCCAAAAGCAAAGAGAUUCCGCAAGAGAGUUUGAGGAAUACUUUUGUAGUCAUCCUUUACAAAUGAACCCAGGCUAUAACCUGGCUGUCAUUUUGUCACAUCCGCACGGAUGGCCAAAAACAAUCAGCUUCGGCUCCUGCGUUCAGUUUUCAAGCAUUAAUACAGAUGAAAUCAACAAAAACACUACUCUGAAAGAAAGAAAUGAAGGACCUGAAAUCACUAUAGGUACUAGAAACACUGAAGGUAAUGGAAACACUGAAGGUAAUUGAAACACUGAAGGUAAUGGAAUCACUGAAGGUAAUGGAAUCACUGAAGGUAAUAGAAUCACUGAAGGUAAUGGUAUUACUCAAAGCAAUGAAAGCAACAAAGGCACUGUCUGGACUGAGUACAAGUACAAUGCCCCAACCUGCCCUGGGAGUUCCGGAGCUCUUGUCUGGAUCUACGGUAAAAAACGAGUGGGCUAUCGUGACAGCGACAUUACGACACAUACCCAUUGUGGAUCCGAGGAUGGCAUGAACAAAAGUGGGUUGGGUUUAGAAUUUAAGACUCUAUGAGAUUAUCUGAGAUAAACAUCUUGAUCAACAGUUAAAUGGCCAUUACUUUUUGAAUUUAAAAAAGAAGCCAUUUUUAAAUUGGCGACACUUGAGUGUCCCCUAAGAUAACGUAGUGUACGUGAGAACCAAGUCAAUGUAUGUUUAAUGUUAGGAAAUCUAAAACAUUAGGUACAGUGCAAAUACACGCAUGUCAAGGACCGUGGUGGCUUGACUUUCGUACCAAGGGGGGCGGGGGGGGGCUCAAGUUCCGAUUUCCUAAACACUGUGAUUUUAUCAUCGGUUUUCCUCUGUUUAGGUAACACGCAUUAGCAUUCUCACCACUUGCACGCUUAUUACUAAAUGUAUUUACUUUUUAAAUUGUAUAAAAUUAUGUCAAAUAAAUUAGAUUACCCACAAACAAAAAAUUCUGUCAUUAUCAUUAUUUUUUUUCUCUGCGAUAACCGUCGUAUUCUUUUUAGUUAUUGAACAUUGCUAUUUUUAAUUUUUUAGAACUAAGUAAGCUUAAUUAAACAUGAAUAGUUACAUUGUUGAUUUUAGUAACAAUGAACUUUAGCUAUCGCAGUUUGAGGAGAUUUAAAGUUAGGCUUUAAAG
rnacentral:sRNA from 1 species